rnacentral:rRNA from 1 species
CGCCGCGGUAACACGUAGGUGGCAAGCGUUGUCCGGAAUUACUGGGCGUAAAGGGCACGCAGGCGGAUAUUUAAGUCAGAUCUGUAAUCUGUAGGCUUAACCAACAGCUCGGGUCUGAAACUGGCUAUCUUGAGGAUAGGAGAGGACAGUAGAAUUCCUAGUGUAGCGGUGAAAUGCGUAGAUAUUAGGAGGAAUACCAGUGGCGAAGGCGGCUGUCUGGCCUAUCACUGACGCUGAGGUGCGAAAGCACGGGUAGCAAACAGGAUUAGAUACCCUGGUAGUCCGUGCCGUAAACGAUGGGUACUAGGUGUGGGAGGUAUCGACCCCUUCUGUGCCGGAGUUAACGCAAUAAGUACCCCGCCUGGGGACUACGGCCGCAAGGCUAAAACUCAAAGGAAUUGACGGGGGCCCGCACAAGCGGUGGAGCAUGUGGUUUAAUUCGACGCAACGCGAAGAACCUUACCGGGAUUUGACAUCCCCUGCUCACGCAGGAGACUGCGUUUUUCAUCUUCGGAUGAACAGGGAGACAGGAGGUGCAUGGCC